rnacentral:lncRNA from 1 species
CUUUCCCUUCCCGUCUUUGAAAUCUCGAAUUCGAGUUGCAGGCCUAAAUUGUACGUUGGACGGGCUUGAUCAGUUUGUUUUAUUUAAGGCCAUUACUUUCUUUUUAUUUUUUAUUUUUUUAUUUUUUUGGUCUAAAAUCAAUCAAAUUUAAAAAAUUUAAUUUAGUUGGAUUUGACAAGCAGAGAAGUUCAUAUAUAUGGUCUCCGCGAUGCGCGAAGUUACUCUCCACGCAUCGUGAAGAUGGUCCACGCAACGCGAAGACGUCUCCAAGCUGUGCGGGGUCCGUGCUAUGCGGAGACCCGUCUCUGCACAGUGCAGAGAUUGUGAUCUUCCUCUUCGAAGGCUUUGAGUAAUGCUACAAUUGCAACUGUAGGGAAAUUUUUUUUGUGCUUGAAAGGAAUUAAUAGUUGAUAAAACCAACUUUUGUAAUUCUUAAUUUUAUUUUUAAUAUUUUUUUUGGUUGUUAUGCGGAGACCCGUCUCCAACAGUCUGUGAUUUCUGUGGAGCAAAGAA